rnacentral:rRNA from 1 species
GAUGAACGCUGGCGGCGUGCUUAACACAUGCAAGUCGAACGGAGAAAGGGUAGCUUGCUAUCUUUUCUUAGUGGCGGACGGGUGAGUAACGCGUGGGUAACCUGCCCUUUGCAGGGGGAUAACAGUGAGAAAUCACUGCUAAUACCGCAUACCAACUUCUUUCGCAUGAAAGAAGUUUGAAAGAUUUAUCGGCAAAGGAUGGACCCGCGUUGGAUUAGCUAGUUGGUGAGAUAACAGCCCACCAAGGCAACGAUCCAUAGCCGGCCUGAGAGGGUGAACGGCCACACUGGGACUGAGACACGGCCCAGACUCCUACGGGAGGCAGCAGUUGGGAAUCUUCGGCAAUGGGCGCAAGCCUGACCGAGCAACGCCGCGUGAGUGAUGAAGGUUUUCGGAUUGUAAAGCUCUGUCUUCCGGGACGAUAAUGACGGUACCGGAGGAGGAAGCCACGGCUAACUACGUG